rnacentral:rRNA from 1 species
UAACGUGUGGGCAACCUGCCCUGUACUGGGGAAUAAUCAUUGGAAACGAUGACUAAUACCGCAUGUGGUCCUCGGAAGGCAUCUUCUGAGGAAGAAAGGAUUUAUUUGGUACAGGAUGGGCCCGCAUCUGAUUAGCUAGUUGGUGAGAUAACAGCCCACCAAGGCGACGAUCAGUAGCCGACCUGAGAGGUUGAACGGCCACAUUGGGACUGAGACACGGCCCAG